UUGUGCUAAAAAUAUAAAGUAUUCAAUAUAUUAGUCAACGUGAAAAAGAUUAUUGUAAUUUUUUUUACUGAAUUCUCCAGAAAUGUCAACCAAAGAAAAAAUGUUUUCAAAUUUACUGCAUUUGUUACAGUGUUAAAAUUUAUAAAAGGUACAAGACAAAAAAAAAUAGAUGCGCGAAUGCAUUUUAAAUAUGACCGUACUCUACUCUGACCCUUUAGCAAAUGAACAAAAGCGGACAGAACAAGCAAACGAGAAAAAAGAAUAAGAUCAGUGGGAAAGAAGAAUAGAAUAGGAAGUUUUACGACGUCAUGCAUACAUAGGGGAGUGCGAACGGGAAAAUGGAAAAUGAUAACAAAGAAACAGCCGUUGCCAUAUGUAUCUGUGUGUGCAUGAGGGGUGAAGAUAAAUUAUUUCAAAUUCUAAAUACAAACAGCUGGAAGAAUGGAAUGCAACACAACAUUGUUGCGUACGUCUAGCUGCAAAUAGAUGCAGUGUUCUCGAUCGAUGCCAAUGAUGAUCUCCUCGUUGGGCAGCU